rnacentral:rRNA from 1 species
CGGAAUCACUGGGCGUAAAGCGCGCGCAGGCGGCUGUCUACGUCCGGGGUGAAAGCCCAGAGCUCAACUCUGGGACUGCCUUGGAUACGGGAUGGCUUGAGGAUCGGAGAGGCAAGGGGAAUUCCACGUGUAGCGGUGAAAUGCGUAGAGAUGUGGAGGAACACCUGUGGCGAAGGCGCCUUGCUGGCCGAUUUCUGACGCUGAGGCGCGAAAGCGUGGGGAGCAAACAGGAUUAGAUACCCUGGUAGUCCACGCCGUAAACGAUGAGUGCUAGGUGUUGGGGGGUACCACCCUCAGUGCCGAAGCUAACGCAUUAAGCACUCCGCCUGGGGAGUACGGUCGCAAGACUGAAACUCAAAGGAAUUGACGGGGGCCCGCACAAGCAGUGGAGCAUGUGGUUUAAUUCGAAGCAACGCGAAGAACCUUACCAGGACUUGACAUCCCGCUGACCGGUCUAGAGAUAGACCUUCCCUUCGGGGCAGCGGUGACAGGUGGUGCAUGGUUGUCGUCAGCUCGUGUCGUGAGAUGUUGGGUUAAGUCCCGCAACGAGCGCAACCCUUGGAUUGUGUUGCCAUCAUUUAGUUGGGCACUUACAAUCGACUGCCGGUGACAAACCGGAGGAAGGCGGGGAUGACGUCAAAUCAUCAUGCCCCUUAUGUCCUGGGCUACACACGUGCUACAAUGGGCGGUACAAAGGGAUGCGAAGCCGCGAGGUGGAGCCAAUCCCAGAAAGCCGUUCGUAGUUCGGAUUGCAGGCUGCAAC